UUUUGUACAUCCAUCCAAUAUUUUAUUGAAUAAAAGCCCAAACACAAACCUUUACAAAUUGAUAUCAAUCAAUAUAGAAAUCAUUGAUUGAAAACAUUGCAAAUGUUCACUGUUAAAAAUGUAUGUAUCCCACAUGGUUUUCGUUUUUUUUUUAAACGAUUUGGUGCUAUUUUCACAAAUAUGUACAGAACCCCAAACUGGUAACACUUGUAAUGCAGCCAGUCUUAUAUUCAAAUCCUUUCAAUAUUAAUGUAUUUGGUUUGUAGACAUCGUUCACUACACAACCAUUAAUUCAAAAUAUAAGUUUACUGUGAAAUAAGAACAUUGGUUUAAUCACCAAAACACAACCUAAUGACAUCUCCUUAAUUUAGUUAUUUUAACCAAUUAAUCCAAAAACACGUUUAAGAUACGUUUCAAUUUGCUCUUUGAAUGUAGUAUGCUCCAGUAGUGUAAAUUACAGUACAUGACACUGUUUCACAUUCGGCAAUACACUUGCACUACCCAUUAAAAUGAACUGGACUUGAAAUGUCAAUAACUUCUAUCCCAUGUCUGAUCAUUGAAGACAUGGGAUAGACAUGGGGGCUCUGGUAAUCUUUCAUAAGGUAAUCAAAGGAAAGAAAAGUUUAAGGCGUUAGAUUGCAUCAAACCUGUCUGGAACAUUUGUCCGUAGGUUCUCAUCGAAAUCACAGUAAAUAUCCUAAUUGUUCAUGCACCAGGCCUGAUAUAGGUCUGGAUUGACGUCAUUGCAUGAGUCAUCCAUGGCCUAGAGGGUGGUGGUUCGCUCGUGGGGGUGGAAGUGUCUUCCACGUGUACAGGUGUACUUAAUGUAUUGUACUCAGGUGUACUUAAUGUAUUGUAGUGGUUCUGUACGUGUCUGUUUUUUUACCUUUAUUUAACUAGGCAAGUCAGUUAAGAACAAAUUCUUAUUUUCAAUGGCAACAGUGGGUUAACUACCUGUUCAGGGGCAGAACGACAGAUUUGUACCUUGUCAGCUCGGGGGUUUGAACUUGCAACCUUCUGGUUACUAGUCCAAUGCUCUAACCACUGCCGUCACUAUAGUUCAUAAGAGCAUGGCACUAGCAACACCAGAGGUGUGGGUUCCAUUCCUACUGGGAUCACGUACCAAAAAGUGGACUGUUGUCGCUUUUGGUAAAAGUGUUUGCUGUGUAAAUGGACCGUACUACCCAAUGCUAUUUUAGUGAAGCAUUUAUUUAUUGUUAAGGACUUUCUGGAUUAUUUGCGUAUUGGCAUUGUAUUACUGCAACGCAGGAGCUAGAAACACAAGCAUUUCGCUGCGCCUGCUGUGACAUCCGCUAAUCUGUGUACGCGACCAAUAAACUUUUUAAUUUGUAACAUAUAGUACGUCUGACUUUGUCAAUAUCAGAUUUGUUUUACUUACUGUGAAGUAAAAUCAUAAUAAUAAUACAUAGUUACUUACGUUUCUACAGACAUCCAUUGUCAUUAUUUAGUUCUCAAAAUCUGUAGUAGACAAAAUGUAAAAUCGAUCCAUUUACCAAACGUUCCGUAGGUUUAAUCAAACGUUCCGUAGGUUUAAUCAAACGUUCCAUUGGUUUAAUCAAACGUUCCAUGGUUUAAUCAAACGUUCCAUGGGUUUAAUCAAACGUUCCAUGGGUUUAAUCAAACGUUCCAUGGUUUAAUCAAACGUUCCAUGGGUUUAAUCAAACGUUCCGUAGGUUUAAUCAAACGUUCCGUAGGUUUAAUCAAACGUUCCGUAGGUUUAAUCAAACGUUCCAUGGGUUUAAUCAAACGUUCCAUGGGUUUAAGUGAUCCCUGAUAAAGAGCAGUUGGAUUAUGUAAUAGGAAAACCUCUUAAAAGAGAAUCAUACCUAAAGUAAUGUGAGCAUUGAGAAAAGCAAUGACUGUAUAUGAACAUGUAUUGCAAUGUGAAACAUGCAUUUCUAGAUGAAACAGAUUAAAUUUGGUGUAAAAAUAAAGUGACUGUUGUACUUAGUCAAUUGAAAAUGUGCUUAGUUUUGAAACGGGCUUUUUGAUGAUCUGUUUCGAAUUUCGUAUUAAGAGUUGUGGAAAUAUACCACAUACAUGUGAAAAUUGCACCAAUGAGAUUUAAAAAAUAAAAUAAAAAACAUUUUAAACCAACCCCAAAUCCUCACCUAGCCCAAACCCCAGAAUUAUCUCCAAAAGAAAGCUGGACGGAUCUUGGAUGGUUGGUGUAGAUUCAAGGGUCUCAAAAGAAGAAGAGACAUUUCCCAAAAGGCCCUGCAGCUCUACUCGUCUUAUAAUCUAUUCAGAUGGAAAAGUACAUAGAUGUGGCUGUUAUCUUUUGUACAUCUUUUAAAAACUUAAACGCGUGCCAUGGUUCCGCUAUAAAAUGACCUAGUUUUCAAGAUUAUAUUGACUGCAUCUCAAAUGCCACCCUAUAUAGUGCAGUACUACCCUGGUCAAAAGUAGUGCACUAGGCCUAUAGGGAAUAGGGUUCCAUUUGAGAGAUAGCUACUCUUUCCCUGAACUUAUUAACCCCCCCAAUAACUGCCCUGCAUUUACAAUCAAAACAAACUAAAGCCACUCAAAUUUAGCUACCAAACAUGUAUGCAAAUUAAUUAACUGGCAAAAGCAUAAAAGUUCAGUGGUCGCCGUGGUUUCUAUUCUGAGUGACAACACAUUCCACCUGUCGUUCAUAGAGGCCUUCAAUUUAAAAAAAAAAAAUAUUUAAAAAAAAAGUCCCCAAGAAUAUCGUCUAUGCCCAAACGGUACCCUAGGGAAUAGGUUGCCAUUUUGGGCUGAACCCUAUAUCCUACAGGUCGCUUGGCAUGGCAAAGAUUUUAUAAAACGAUAUAAAGGGGGAAUAGACCUUUCUCAAAGGUGCAUCCAUUCAUCCCAACAAAAUCAAACUCCAGAUCAAACUAUACAGGUUAAAAAUGUCAAAUUAAAAUCAACAAAGCAUCAGGUGCUUAUUCAGCAGGAUGAUAAUACAUUUCAGAACAAAUUGCAGAUUGAACAGACGUGCGUUUCAAGCCUGGACUUGAAAUCUGUGUAUAUUCUACAUUGGUUUGUUAAUGUUUCACUCCACUGAAUGAGUCCCAGGUGUACAUGGCUUUCAGAGAAUAAGCUACCCUCAGUGCUCUCAGCACCACAACCCUGAAUCCUUCCC
ensembl:lncRNA